rnacentral:tRNA from 1 species
GCGGGUGUGGCGGAACUGGUAGACGCGCUAUCUUGAGGGGGUAGUGUCCGUAAGGGCGUGUGGGUUCGAGUCCCACCACCCGCACUA